GCAGCCACCGGUGUUGCAAUGUUCUGAUGUUGCCCCAGUUAUUGUAGCCACGUUCCAGGGGUGUCCAGGGGUUCAGUCGCCUUCGCAUCCAUUGCUUGGUUUUGGGAGGUGAGAACCUGGGCUCAGAAAUGCCCCCACUUCGCGACUACAGCCCCCCAGAGGGCCAAAGGUGGCCUGAGAUCACAUUGCUCGCCAGGACCGAGAGAUCCGUGAGGGUCAUCUCUCCAACUCUGAGAAAAGGACCUCUCUUAUCCCCCGAUGGGAGUGGCUGCAUCCCUCUGACCUACCCAGGGCAAGUCUAGUCCCACAUUUACUGGGCCUCAAUUGAGCUAAGGAAAUGAAGUUAAAUUAGCAGCUCUCCAAGUCAGCAGGGGCUGGAAGACUCACGAGAACUGUUUCAAGACUAUUUAAAGGACAUCUUACCAAGUAUACAAGAAAAUCGCUGUUACUUGUAAAUCAUCGCUAUGACAUCAAGUGUUUUAAUAGUUUUAGUCUGUGCUUUUCAAA